GGAAAAAGAGGAAAAGAAAAGAGGGCUCCACGGCAGAAGGAACAGGAUGCCAGAAGGUCCCAAGUCCGGGCAGGGUCUGUCUGAUCAAGGACCAGAGGCCCAGAGGGCUGGCAAUGGUGGACAUGAGAUGAGACCACCAGGGGUAGGAUCAGCAUCUUCAGCAUCCUCAUCAAGAGUUCUCCAGGGAACUGGAAGUAACUGAUCUCCUGAAAACACAGCGAGACCUGGGUCAGAGCAACAGGUACAGACUUCGGAUCGCCUGCUUCCUUACCGUCUUCAACACACUGUCCAGUCUGCGUGCUCCGGUCGGGCACCCAGGCGGCAGGAGUCAGAGAGAAGAAACCGGUUCUAGAGCCAAAUGACCUGGAUCCUGAUGAGCCCCUCCUGCAUAACCAGCCUGUGGCCUUAGCCCCCUGAGCUUCCUCCGCUCUAGCAGGAGGAUACGAAUCACUUCAGGGAGUCGUUGUGAGGCGGUUGAGGGACCGCAUGAGCACUUAGCACCUCGCAUGGGGGGGGGGUGCCUUCCCUGUCAGCACCAGGCAGCCACCCAUCCCCGGGGUGGAGUCUGCAGGAGGGCUGGGAUGCAUGUUGUCUCUGCAACCCACACUAGGCCUGGCAUCACGCUGGGGACCCCAAGAUGGGCUAAGCCAGGUUCCUGCCCCAGAAAAGGCUCCAGUCUAGCCAAUGAAGAGAUUGACAGAUAAGCCACAGCCUUCACGAAUUCUGGGAAGAUUCCCUCUGCCAGCUUACCCCUGAGAAAUCCUGGGUUUGGGGGCAGAGGUACCACUCAGAGCAAAGGACCCUCGUUGGGCCUUUCACGGGUGCCGUAUCCUUGUCCAGACAGCUUGUAACCCUCCUGGUAGGGAUGAAGAUGCUCUAAAAGGACAUGUGUUCCCCCCUUUGGCUAUCAAACCAUUGAGACACACACUCCAGAGAACUGGAAUGCCCCAGGAGCCUCGUGUUGGGAGGAAAGGGCUGACGUCUGGUCCCAACCGGAAAAAAGAUCUUGUCUUCCAGGAAGGGAUUUCAUACUGUUCUGGGGACUUGUCAGACCACCUUGCAGAAGAAAGAGGAGCCAAGACAAGGAUGAGUCGAUGGCUGUGGGAACACAGCUGGGACGGCUUGGCUCCGGGCACCUCUUACCCUUUAUUUACCCUUUUUAAAGAUAAGUUAUUUCUUUAUAUUUUAUGUACAUUGGUGUUUUGCUUGCAUGCAUGUCUGUGUGAGGGUGUCAGAUUCCUUAGAACAGGAGUUAGACAUUUGUGAGCUGCCAUGUGGGUGCUGGGAGUUGAACACGGGUCCUCUGGAAGAGCAGCCCGUGUUCUUAACCACUGAGCCAUCUCUCCCCUCUAUUCACUCUUAAACCCGCAUGCCACGAGCCUCUCUGAUUCCUUUCCUGGUGUGGCCACAUGGAGUAAACCUUCAGGUUCCGCCUUUCACUAUCACUUACUUCUUUGGUUGAUCUUUUGAGGGUGAGCCUGAGCCUAGUUUAUCAAGGCUACCAGGGCCUGGGCUUAACCGCUACCGGCCCUGGCCACAAGCUGCUUCCCACCGGCAGCCCACAGGAGCGGAACCCAAAGCGAGAGGCAGCGUAAUGGACGGAUUGCCGGGAACAGCCAAGUGUGCCUUCCAGAUGAUAACGGAACCCUGUCCUUCACUUGUUCCACAAAACAACUCAUGGUUUGUCUGAAAUUCUAACACAACCGAGGUACUGUUUCCAAAGCUUGACCUCAGGUUUCCUGUUUCUGGCAGACCUUGACUGGGAUCCUUAUUCCAGAGACGGGGUGUGUGGCCGAUGGAGGCUCAAGGAUCUGUAGACACCAUCCAACUUACAUAUUGGUGCCUGAAACUAUUUUAAAAACUAGUGCCAAGCCGGGUGUGGUGGCACACGCCUUUAAUCCCAGAACUUGAGAGCACAGACAGGCAGAUCUCUAUGAGUUUAAGGCCAGCCUGAUCUAUGUAGUGAGUUCCAGCCCAGCCCAGGGCUUCAUGGUGAGAUCUUGUCUCAAAGGAAAAAAAACAAAAACAGAAGAACAAUGAUGAAACAUAAUGAUUUGUUAAUGGUUCAAUGCUUUGGAAAGCCGCAAGCCAAAGAACUGUGGUUCUGUCUAGAUCCCGUGCAGCCCAUUCAUGCCACAGACAAGGAAGCUGACCUGGGGAGAGGAGGUGACGUGCUACCUGGGGACGAGCAGGAGAGAGCACUGGGCUCCCUCUCUCCAUUAGGUUACAUUUCCAAGAUUGUUGAUGAUUUCUGCCUGUUGCGUAAGAAGUUGUUGGAAGAAGAGUUUGAUGUCUGAGUCACAGGCAAAGAGACCAAACAGAAAAAUCCUGGAUUUCAGAGGACAAUGCUCAGAAAGCCACUUCCUGCCAAAUGAAUGUUCUCAGACCCUAUCUACGCCCUCCUUCAAUGUAUCUGGCAGGUUAAUCCAGACCUGAACGCAUCCGCAUGUCCAACACGGUGGGGAGGGCAGCCCUGACACAGGAGGCCCCAGACAAUCCGGCUGUCACUGACACACAUUCUGAUCUGUUUUCAGAAAACACUCUUCCUGCAGGAGAUAAAUAGCUGCUGCUCAGGAACCGGAGCCACACUGAAGAGUGCCAGGGUCACCGCUGGUUUCAUUUGGGCCAUCCCCGUGGCCUUUGUGCCUCACACCCCUUGAGGCUCACGUCUUGGGUUCAAGAAAAAUCCAUGCAGCCAGCAGGAUCCUGACAACCUGAGUCCAGUCCCUGGACCCCCACAUUAUGCAUGGAUGGAACCUACUCUUACAGCCAUCCUAUAACUUUCACACACAAAUAAGCAAAAACCUUAAGUAGCCUGUGGGAGAAACAGACACCGUUUAAAGAGCUUGGAACAGGGCAGCCGGCAGUUACAGCGCCACAGUGGAGGAAGGUGCCCGGGAGGAGGCAUGAGGCAGGACUCAUGUCAGAGGGAUGCUUCCCUCAAAAAAGGUACUGGCUGCUGCAGGUUAGAGCAUUUGCUUCUUCUCUUGUUGCAGGGAGCAGCUGGCUAGCGGAGCUUCUUCAAGGGAGGAUGGUUUAUUGCGGCUCACAGGCUGAGGAUCCAGCCACUCACCAGCAAGGCACCAGAGCCAGAACACCAGCAGCUGGCCACCCUGCAGAGUCAGGAAGCAGAGAGAGACCAAUGCUGGGCUGGUGCCCGCCUUGCUUUCUCCUUUCGUUUGCUCUGCCCUCUCCCCCCACCCACCCCAACCCCACCCUAUGGGAUGGUGUCUGCCCAUCACAGACAGACUUUGUUGGGGAGACAAGAGAGGAGGUGAAGUGACAACCAGUAAGCGCUUACUGUAUGCCAGACAUAGCAGAUCUUUAUCCUCUUCAACAGUUCUAGGAGGUGUAUAUGCUCCGUUUACUCCGCAGAUAAGGGAAGUGAAGCCAAAGUGGAAAGAGCAAUUAGCCCAGUCAUUGCGGGGUUGACGGUCAGGGCCCUGUGUUUCUGGACUCCUUGCUUCUUUUUAAGGCGGUAAGCAGGCUUGUCCCACGAUGGGGACAUGAUCCCUUUAAUGGAAGAUUUGUGUCUGAGUCUGGAGCCUGCCUCCAGCUUCGGGAACACUGUGAUGUAUCGGUGAGUUGAAGGACAAAGGAUCUAUGGGGCCGGGACUCUCCAGGGGCCUGUUGACAGGCUCUUCGAAGACAGACUCCUCAGAGCCCUCUUUUCCAGUAAGCCCUCAUGGAGCAGCCAUAGCCAAAACCCUGCUAAGUGAGACCCCCGCCUCGUCCUCCAGCCCCUUGAGAUCUGAUCCGAGUUUUCUUUCCCUCUUCUCCAUAUUUGAUUCCUUGUCUGCACUAGGCAAGGGCUUUCCUCUUGACAUCUCUUGUCUCAGUUGUUUCCUGCCCACUGACCUGUCCCUCUGUGCCUGGGCUGUGAACCCCUGUUGUCUCUGUUGCGGGGGGUGGGAGGGAGUUUAGGCUUGUCUGCCCAGCCAGCCUUAGCGCCUGUCUUCAUGGUCCUGAACUGUGUCUUCCUUGAUGGAACAGGCGUCCAUAUUGUCUAAGGUAGCAUCCGAAGCAAGCUAGUGCCCACAUGACGCACUCAUGCCGCAGCCUGUGCUCUUCACCGUCCGUCUCCCGCUUCCAGCCAACACCCAGGGAUCACGCCGAAGGGUGGAUCUGCACAGUCAUGGCUUUACACGGAUGUCUCCAGCCCCUGGUGAUGGGAACCUUCCAGCUUUUGCUCCCUGCAACCCAGCCCCUUAUUCUCCAGGUGUAUUCCGACAGCCCACCUCCAGAUAAAAGGCUUGACCCCUUGCUUCCAAACCUCAUAGGAGACCCAUCCUGGAUCCUGGCCAUGAGGGCCCGGUAGGGGGUAUUCCCUGAAGGCCUCCGAUCACCCCCACCCUUGCCGCCCUCCAUCCUGAACUUCUCAGUGGUGUGCCUUAUCCCCGGCCACCUUACUGUGCUGGUUAUGUGGCUCUGGUGCCACUCUGUCUGCCGUUUAACUGACACCCCAUACUCGUGGGUAUUUCUCACACCCAUGGUAUAGAUGGGAACUCUGAGGCCCACAGAAACAAUGGUUGACCUACUGUAAUGAUACCCCAGCCCCGCAGACCCACACACCCCGGGGGGGCCUGACCUGUGGCGACAGGCGCUGGGUCCUGAGGAAGAAGCCAAGGAGGCAGCCCACGAUGACAGACAACACCGACAGGAUGAGUAGCCCGUUGUGUUUACACACUGCCCGCCCUCGAGCCAGGACAGCGCCCAGCGCCAUGCUGAGCCCAGCCCGUUGGCACCAUUCCAUGCACUGGAGGCCGUGUCCCAGGUCUGGGCCGGAGGCACGAGCCUCUCUCCUCGCAGGUGAAUGGGGGGGCCCUAAGCACCUACGGCCAGCCUUGCAGCCAUGGUCUGUGCAGCCGCCCAGAGGGAAGCCACAAUCCUAUUACCAGCCGCAUCAUUAGGAGCUGGGCGCAGAUUAGGGCCUGGGAAAUUAGAGCAGGCCACGUGGUUGGGGUGUCCAGCCCUCAACGCCAAAUGCUUCUCCUGAAGAGGGGAGGGGACCAGGUACCACGACAGGAAGCGGACGCGCAUCAGCCCCACCUCAUUCCCAGAAGCUCUGGAAACAAGGCAGUGAGGUACCAGUCACUGCCUGCCUCAGUAAGUGUGCAAGGGGCCUCUGGUGGCUGUCCUCCAAGCAUGUGGUUGUUUUAGCUUGAUCUGUGCUCUCGCCAGUCCCCAGGAGUAGGGGAUGUGAAUGUGUCACCUUGCCAGUGCAGAUUCAGAGGUAGAAGGACCGAAUGCUGAGGCCAGGCUUGCCCUGGGUGCUACCACCACCCCUGGGGACCCAAGCCCGCCACCUCGGGCCUGGGUUCCAGUCUCCUUGUCAUCCAGAGAGGGACUGAGAUGCUGAGAGCCUGAGUCCCUCAGCACGGUCACUGAGCUGGCAUUUGACAGAGCAGGCAGAGCAGGGUCAGGUGAGGAGUUUAGACUUGAGUUCAGUUGCUCAGACUCCAGCUGAAUGUCAACAGGAAAUGAAUAAACUUUCUUCCAGGAUGCUCCAAGCCCAAGAUGCUCACUCACCCCGUAUCCCUCAGGGACUGUUUUUUUUUUUAAAUUUUUAAAGUAUUCUUGCUUAUUCUUUUUUCACACAUACACACAACAUAUCUUGAUCACAUCUGAACGAAAAAAAAAAAGAAGUAAAUAAAAAGAAUUAAAAGAA